CCGAGAAUAUUCGACAAUGGGCGCAAGCCUGAUCCAGCCAUGCCGCGUGAGUGAAGAAGGCCUUCGGGUUGUAAAGCUCUUUUACCAGGGACGAUAAUGACGGUACCUGGAGAAUAAGCCCCGGCAAACUUCGUGCCAGCAGCCGCGGUAAUACGAAGGGGGCUAGCGUUGUUCGGAUUUACUGGGCGUAAAGGGCGCGUAGGCGGCAAUUCAAGUCAUCUGUGAAAUCUCCGGGCUUAACUCGGAACGGUCAGAUGAUACUGCUUUGCUAGAGUGCAGAAGGGGCAAUCGGAAUUCUUGGUGUAGCGGUGAAAUGCGUAGAUAUCAAGAGGAACACCUGAGGUGAAGACGGGUUGCUGGGCUGACACUGACGCUGAGGCGCGAAAGCCAGGGGAGCAAACGGGAUUAGAUACCCUUGUAGUCCCUGAGCGGGCUGGCAAGGCGCAU
rnacentral:rRNA from 1 species